rnacentral:tRNA from 1 species
GGAUGUGGGUCAAGCGGUAGCACGCUCGCCUGGUAUACGUGCGGCCUGGGUUCAAUCCUCAGCACCACAUACA